UAUUUAGUGACAAUCAAGUCUCGUUUUAGCAUUAAGAAAGUCUCGUUUUCCAUGAGAUUUCGCAGCCUAUAUAUAUUUCGAAACUUGGUCGCUUCUGCCUUUAUUCUUCUUCUGCGGCUGAAGUGGUCGGAUGCGAGGCAAAAUUUUAUGUGCUCACGGAUCUGAGAGAUUCAUGGACAAGUACAGCACUCAGCAAUGCAUCCAGGUGGCAAAAUUCUUCUACCAAAAUCAGGGGUCGAUAAUUCAGACCCAGGAGCAUACUGUCGACACGUGCAGGUGAGAGAUGCACCAGAUUCAAAAGACACUGUGGCUUCUCCGUGGAAAAGUUGCUGGAAUGCUCUGGAUGAGCAUUGGAAACCUAGGUACUAGUCACGUAGACUGGACCCGGUGCGCGCAGACGUGCUAGCCAGUCGUGGGUGGUCGACUUGCGGAUGCAAAUGAGCUGGUUUGCGAUCAACAUAAAAUACUAUUUUACAGAAUAAAGUAAAUAAUUUUUAAAACUUAUAUAAUAAUUUUUUUUUACA